UACGUAGGGGCCUAGCGUUGUCCGGAAUUAUUGGGCGUAAAGAGCUCGUAGGCGGUGUGUCGCGUCGGCCGUGAAAACCUGCAGCUUAACUGUGGGCUUGCGGUCGAUACGGGCAUCACUGGAGUUCGGCAGGGGAGACUGGAAUUCCUGGUGUAGCGGUGAAAUGCGCAGAUAUCAGGAGGAACUCCGGUGGCGAAGGCGGGUCUCUGGGCCGAUACUGACGCUGAGGAGCGAAAGCGUGGGGAGCGAACAGG
rnacentral:rRNA from 1 species